rnacentral:rRNA from 1 species
UACGAAGGGGGCUAGCGUUGUUCGGAAUCACUGGGCGUAAAGCGCAUGCAGGCGGAUUGUUAAGUCGGGGGUGAAAUCCCGAGGCUCAACCUCGGAACUGCCUUCGAUACUGGCAAUCUUGAGUCCGGGAGAGGUGAGUGGAACUGCGAGUGUAGAGGUGAAAUUCGUAGAUAUUCGCAAGAACACCGGUGGCGAAGGCGGCCAUCUGGACCGGCACUGACGCUGAGGCGCGAAAGCCAGGGGAGCAAACGGG